UCAUCCGCAUAUGUUCAUCUUCUUCACCUGAUGGGUACUGUUUGCGCAGAAAAAAAAUAAUUUGGUCACCUUCAUCUUGCAAGUCCUCUUCGGCAGAGUUCAGCUCGUAGUAACGCCUCCUCAUCAACAGCACCAAGUUCCGGAUGGUAGCCAGAGCUGCACCAACGUAUAGGUGCUCGCUACCACUGCCAUUUAGUGCCCAAGCUCUCACUCUCUCCAGAGAACCCUAGCGUCGUCCACUCCUGCCAAAUUCUCCGAGAACAUCUCUUGGAGCUGCAGCCUGCACUUCACUCGGUAAUCUUGCUUGGUCAAAGUUAUAUUUUCUCCUUCUGUUUUCGCAGUUCACUCUCAUUCUCUAUCCUCUCGCACGCAAAUGGAACAUGAUUGUGAGGCUCUACACUUAUGGUUUGUCCGUGGUCACAGCGGAAAUGGGCUGAACCUAUCCAGACAUUGUCCAGAAUCCAUAAUUGUCAAUAGCCUAGGACUCAGAUUGGCCCUGCUUUGUGGCAUUGUAAUAUUGACUUUGUCCAGAAUUCAUGUACUUAGAUGCCAAGUGCUCUCUUUGAAGUUUGAAGUCUAGCUGUUAAUUGUAUUGCUAACAUAUUACUAAUUCAAAGAUCAUGACAGAUUCUGGAAACUGACAUCAUGUGCUAAUUCAAAUAUAACUAUAAUGAAAAAUUCUG